AUUGAACGCUGGCGGCAUGCUUUACACAUGCAAGUCGAACGGCAGCGCGGGGGCAACCCUGGCGGCGAGUGGCGAACGGGUGAGUAAUGUAUCGGAACGUAUCCUGUAAUGGGGGAUAACCAGUCGAAAGACUGGGUAAUACCGCAUACGCACGAGAGUGGAAAGUAGGGGAUCGCAAGACCUUACGUUAUAGGAGCGGCCGAUAUCUGAUUAGCUAGUUGGUGGGGUAAAGGCCUACCAAGGCGACGAUCAGUAGCUGGUCUGAGAGGACGACCAGCCACACUGGGACUGAGACACGGCCCAGACUCCUACGGGAGGCAGCAGUGGGGAAUUUUGGACAAUGGGCGAAAGCCUGAUCCAGCCAUGCCGCGUGCAGGAAGAAGGCCUUCGGGUUGUAAACUGCUUUAGUCUAGGAAAAAGGGGUGCGAGGUUAAUACCCUCGUGCUUUGAUGGUACUGGAAGAAUAAGCACCGGCUAACUACGUG
rnacentral:rRNA from 1 species